GUCUAUAGUCAUACCAGUUUGACUAUGCUCCAUCUCCAUCUGAUCUUAGAAGUUAAGCAAGGGUUGACCUGCUUAGUACUUGAAUGGGAAAUUGCUUGGGAAUACUGUACUGUAGAGU
rnacentral:rRNA from 1 species